GUGCCUGAGAUAGGCUGGGCUUUUUGUUGGAAGCGAGGACCACAGCAGUAAAGAGGGGUUGGUUCUUGUUCCAGAGAGGGAGGCAGUCAUUAAACAAAACAUUUCCAGUGAUGAUGAAACCGAGGCUGUGGAACGUGUCCAAAGUUAUACGCCCAGAAGCAAGCUUGACCUUCCACAUCAGGAAAGGAGUCUUUGUCCGGUCUGCUCUGGAACAUACACCGUUGAAUUUUUGAAUGCACAGAUGAUUAUUUCUUAAUAAUAAGAAAAAGAAAACUUUAUGUAACUUUUGCCUCAAAAGUGAAGUAUCAUCUCAUACUGGUCAAAAUGGCCAUCAUUAAAAAGUCUACAAAUGAUAAAUACUGGAGAGGGUGUGGAGAAAAGGAACCCUCCUACACU